rnacentral:misc_RNA from 1 species
UGGGCUCGAACGGCUGGUCAACGGCGGUGGAAACAUCGCUACCCCGCAAGGGGGUCCAGUCGAGGUGCUGCAUGGCUGUCGUCAGCUCGUGUCGUGAGAUGUUGGGUUAAGUCCCGCAACGAGCGCAACCCUUGUCCUGUGUUGCAACCCCGCAAGGGGGCACUCUCAGGAGACCGCCAGCGAUAAGUUGGAGGAAGGUGGGGAUGACGUAAGUGACCUUUGC